GGGGGCAAAUACAUCACCUUUCCUGUUUUCCUUUCCAGAAUCGAAAUCUUUUCUUUCUUCAUCUUCAUCACUAUAGAUAGAUUUCUCACUCUAUAUUCGGGUAAUCUAUACUCAGUUUGAAUCUGGAGUACAGGGUUUUGAUUUGAUUGAAUAUUCAAUCAUCAUCUAGCCUGUAACCCCAAAUUCGAUAAUUGGGUAUUGAUUUGGUAGAAACGUCAAACCCUCCCUUAAUUUAAUUGAUUUGAGUUGCAAGGGAAUUAGGGUUUGUGGGGUUUUGAUGCGAUGCCAUUUUUUUUUCUCUAACCUUAGGAAGAAAAAUUUGAGGCUUGCCAGGUGGAUACAUUUCCGGUAAAGAAGAAAGACAUUAUGAAGUUCAUUGGAGAGCGUAGGUUCAUAGAUUGGGUUAAGCUCAAUUAUAACCACAGGACUACAGUUAUCGAUAAAUUGAGG